rnacentral:misc_RNA from 1 species
UCCGAGUUGACCCCGGCAGUCUCCUGCGAGUCCCCGCCAUUACGCGCUGGCAACACAGGACAAGGGUUGCGCUCGUUGCGGGACUUAACCCAACAUCUCACGACACGAGCUGACGAUAGCCAUGCACCACCUAUCGCAGGCCCUUUCGGACACCGUAUCUCUACGGCUUUUCCUGCGUAGUUCAACCCAGGUAAGGUUCUUCGCGUUGCAUCGAAUUAAGCCACAUGCUCCACCGCUUGUGCGGGUCCCCGUCAAUUCCUUUAUGUUUUAGUCUUGCGACCGUACUCCACAGGCGGGAUACUUAACGCGUUAGCCUCGCUACUGAAGGGGUCGAUACCUCCAACAGCUAGUAUCCAUCGUUUACGGCGUGGACUAC